rnacentral:rRNA from 1 species
AGUGAACGCUGGCGGUAGGCCUAACACAUGCAAGUCGAACGGCAGCACAGUAAGAGCUUGCUCUUACGGGUGGCGAGUGGCGGACGGGUGAGGAAUACAUCGGAAUCUACUUUUUCGUGGGGGAUAACGUAGGGAAACUUACGCUAAUACCGCAUACGACCUACGGGUGAAAGCAGGGGAUCUUCGGACCUUGCGCGAUUGAAUGAGCCGAUGUCGGAUUAGCUAGUUGGCGGGGUAAAGGCCCACCAAGGCGACGAUCCGUAGCUGGUCUGAGAGGAUGAUCGGCCACACUGGAACUGAGACACGGUCCAUACUCCUACGGGAGGCAGCAGUGGGGAAUGUUAGGCAAUGGGCGCAAGCCUGAUCCAGCCAUACCGCGUGGGUGAAGAAGGCCUUCGGGUUGUAAAGCCCUUUUGUUGGGAAAGAAAAGCAGCAGGUUAAUACCCCGCUGUUCUGACGGUACCCAAAGAAUAAGCACCGGCUAACUUCGUG